rnacentral:lncRNA from 1 species
AUUUUUUGUAAUUUUAUAUAAUUACUAUUAUAAUUUAAUUUACAAACAAAAUAUAAAAUAUAUUUAAUGAUCGAUACUGUAUAAAAAGCUUCUACUUUUAUAUUUUCAUUUAACUUUUAAAUUUAUUUUGAAAUUUUCAGACCUAGUACAGCUAGUUCAAUGAACUCAUGCACUAAGUUUUCCUGCACUAUAAUGAACGGUAUCGGUUACACCAGUUCUGGAAUAACAAACGCUUUAGGGUGCGUUCGGAGAAACGCUAUUAGCGUUACCAGCAUCAGUCCAUCUUCAUUACUCAUUAAAAGUAGAACAAGGAUAAACUGAUGCUGAUAGCGCUAAUAGCGUCUCCCCGAACGCACCCUUAGUGCACACUUUUUGAACUAGUGCAGCCAGUGCAGGAAUAAAAAACAAACCAUACGUGUUGUCAUAUAAAAAUUUAUUGCAUUUAGUAAUAAAUUACAAUUGAAAGAAUAAUUGACGCCCGCCGAUAGCCAAGUCUUUUCGGGGUGCCAGCCAAGAGCAGUGACUUGUGCUACUGCAUGACCCGGUGACUCAACAUCCUGCACAGGUUCACCUUGAUCAUCGUAAAUAGUCACAAAACCACCUUUGUCUUGAGAGUACGCAGCAACAGCUAACAAUGGAUAAUUAUUGUGCCACGUUGCAAGAGUGCUUAUAGAAGCACUCUCAGGAUUUUGCACUCGUAUAUCAAAAUACAAGAUACUUGUCAUCAGUUGUCAUGGAAACAGAUGUCUGCCACCAUGAUGGAAAAAUAUAUAGGUGUGUUCGUACGCAUAUAUUGCUAACAACCAAUGAGAAAUUGGGUGCAUCUAGUAGCACAACCACUCACUGAGCGGCUAAGUAGCAAUUGAAAAUGAUUUGUUAGAUCCAAAAGUAAGACCCAAUCAUCUUCAAUUGCUACUUAGCCGCUCAGUGAGCGGUUGUGCUACUGGAUGCACCUAUUAAUGGCAGGUACCGCCAUCUUGUCGCGGCAAUUUGAAUUUGGCAUACAUAUUAUUAUUGUUUUAACUUAUUUUUGUGUUUUUACUGAAUCUAUGUAUGCUUAAAACAUAAUAAUUUAUUUUGUACAAUAAAAGUUAUAUAAUAAAAAAUUUAAGUACAAUAAAAAA